GGCCUCGUGGCCCAAUGGCAAGGCGUCUGACUACGAUCGAAAGUACUCCUGAACAGCUGUUGCCAGCUGCAGGUCACCUGAUCCAUCAGGAGAUUCUGGGUUCGACCCCCAGCGAGGUCA